rnacentral:sRNA from 1 species
UGCCUCCACCUCUGCCUUUAGGAUCCCAACCAGCUGAUUCGUGCCAGUGCCCUCCGUGUCCUCUCUAGCAUCCGUGUGCCCAUCAUAGUGCCCAUCAUGAUGCUAGCUAUCAAGGAAGCCGCCUCGGACAUGUCACCCUAUGUGCGGAAAACAGCUGCCCACGCCAUCCCUAAACUCUACAGUUUGGACUCUGACCAGAAGGAUCAGCUGAUAGAAGUCAUUGAGAAGCUUCUGGCUGACAAGACCACGCUGGUGGCGGGCAGUGUGGUGAUGGCCUUUGAGGAGGUCUGCCCGGAGCGCAUCGACCUGAUUCACAAAAACUACCGGAAACUCUGUAACCUGCUGAUCGACGUGGAGGAGUGGGGCCAGGUGGUCAUCAUCAGCAUGCUCACCCGCUACGCCCGCACGCAGUUCCUGAGCCCCACCCAGAACGAAUCCCUACUAGAGGAGAACGCG